rnacentral:rRNA from 1 species
CACUAUCGUUAACUGAAUACAUAGGUUAACGAGGCGAACCGGGGGAACUGAAACAUCUAAGUACCCCGAGGAAAAGAAAUCAACCGAGAUUCCCCCAGUAGCGGCGAGCGAACGGGGAGCAGCCCAGAGUCUGAAUCAGCUUGUGUGUUAGUGGAACGGUCUGGAAAGUCCGACGGUACAGGGUGAUAGUCCCGUACACCAAAAUGCACAGGUUGUGAACUCGAAGAGUAGGGCGGGACACGUGGUAUCCUGUCUGAAUAUGGGGGGACCAUCCUCCAAGGCUAAAUACUCCUGACUGACCGAUAGUGAACCAGUACCGUGAGGGAAAGGCGAAAAGAACCCCGGCGAGGGGAGUGAAAAAGAACCUGAAACCGUGUACGUACAAGCAGUGGGAGCACCUUCGGGUGUGACUGCGUACCUUUUGUAUAAUGGGUCAGCGACUUAUAUUCUGUAGCAAGGUUAACCGUAUAGGGGAGCCGCAGGGAAACCGAGUCUUAACUGGGCGUUAAGUUGCAGGGUAUAGACCCGAAACCCGGUGAUCUAGCCAUGGGCAGGUUGAAGGUUGGGUAACACUAACUGGAGGACCGAACCGACUAAUGUUGAAAAAUUAGCGGAUGACUUGUGGCUGGGGGUGAAAGGCCAAUCAAACCGGGAGAUAGCUGGUUCUCCCCGAAAGCUAUUUAGGUAGCGCCUCGUGAACUCAUCUUCGGGGGUAGAGCACUGUUUCGGCUAGGGGGUCAUCCCGACUUACCAACCCGAUGCAAACUACGAAUACCGAAGAAUGUUAUCACGGGAGACACACGGCGGGUGCUAACGUCCGUCGUGAAGAGGGAAACAACCCAGACCGCCAGCUAAGGUCCCAAAGUCAUGGUUAAGUGGGAAACGAUGUGGGAAGGCACAGACAGCCAGGAUGUUGGCUUAGAAGCAGCCAUCAUUUAAAGAAAGCGUAAUAGCUCACUGGUCGAGUCGGCCUGCGCGGAAGAUGUAACGGGGCUAAACCAUGCACCGAAGCUGCGGCAGCGACACUAUGUGUUGUUGGGUAGGGGAGCGUUCUGUAAGCCUGCGAAGGUGUGCUGUGAGGCAUGCUGGAGGUAUCAGAAGUGCGAAUGCUGACAUAAGUAACGAUAAAGCGGGUGAAAAGCCCGCUCGCCGGAAGACCAAGGGUUCCUGUCCAACGUUAAUCGGGGCAGGGUGAGUCGACCCCUAAGGCGAGGCCGAAAGGCGUAGUCGAUGGGAAACAGGUUAAUAUUCCUGUACUUGGUGUUACUGCGAAGGGGGGACGGAGAAGGCUAUGUUAGCCGGGCGACGGUUGUCCCGGUUUAAGCAUGUAGGCUGAUUGUCCAGGCAAAUCCGGAUAAUCAAGGCUGAGGUGUGAUGACGAGGCACUACGGUGCUGAAGUAACAAAUGCCCUGCUUCCAGGAAAAGCCUCUAAGCAUCAGGUAACAUCAAAUCGUACCCCAAACCGACACAGGUGGUCAGGUAGAGAAUACCAAGGCGCUUGAGAGAACUCGGGUGAAGGAACUAGGCAAAAUGGUGCCGUAACUUCGGGAGAAGGCACGCUGGUGUGUAGGUGAAG